AAUGUCAUCACUGGCAGAAGUAGGGAGAACUGGCAGCAGGCAGGCUGGUAGUUAGCAUGGAGAUCACGAAGUCUGCUUUCCCUGAGCGUUCUGGGAGAAAACAGAGGAACAGCUCAGAAAUGCUGGUGUCAUUCCUCCCCUGGAAGGAAUGACCGGAAGGAGCCAGGCUGUUGCAAGCGUGAGGCAGAGAGCAAGUGCUAAAGCUGCAGCUGCACCUGCAAUCAAGGUAACACUGCUCCUCUCUCGCUCGGUUUAGAGGACUGCAUAGCUACAGCUAAUAGGAGAGCAACAGCACUGCAAAGUAAGGAAGGAGAGACGCAGACUGCUGCUGCAGACAUUUGUCUAUAUGUUAUUGUGGUUUUGUUACACUGUCAUAAGAAGGUGGAGAUGUGGUGGGUGCAGAUACAUCCAUCUUCUCUGGAGGUAACCUGUGUAAACCUGGUGACACGUUGCUCUGCCUGGUUAAAAAGCACCAGAUCUGCAUUCUUGACUGAUCCAGGUUGAUUUUACUCCUGUGAGAAGUAAGAACGCUUGCUUCCCCCAACAAGACCUUUGGAUACAUUCACCUGCUUUUUUCUUCAAAUUAUCUAUUCCCUUCUGAAUUCUUGCGAGAGCAAUCUAAAAUCAUCUCUGACUUCAGGUAAUGGUGAAAACAUUGAGCUAUGCCUGUAUGGACCAAAAAUCUGUUGCUAAAAACCAACAUGAUAUGAUCAUCUUCCACAAAAAAUCAUCUCUGACUUCAGGUGCAGUGCUAAACCAUGUCCCGCGGCACCACAUCUCUGCCUCUUUGAAACACCUCCAGGCACGGAGAUUCAACCACCUCACUGGGCAGCCUGUGCCAGUCUUUGAGAACCCUUUCAGUCAAGUUUCUUCUAGUAUCCAACCUGAAGCCUGGGAAGAAUCAAGUCCCAACAACUGGCAAGACAGAGUUCCCUGAAAGUGUUUGGGCACUGUCUGGACUGUGGCUGGCCUCGUGAGUCAGAGUGUGCAAAGGAAUAUACCAAAGCUCAACUCCUAGUAGAAAAUACCUGAGCUUCUUCUUGCUGCCGCCUCAGCUGUUCAAGCAUCUGCUGCAAGUCUGCUUCCCUCUGUUCUGCUUCAACCAUAGUUGCUUGAUUCUGCUCUUCAUAGGCCAUAGCAACCACGGCCAAAAUCAAGUUAAUCAAAUAGAAGGAACCCAGAAAAAUGACUAGAACAAAAAAAAUCAUGUAUGUUUUGCCAGCAGCUCGUAGAGUCUGUAGGAAAAGAAGAGACAUCAUCUGUCUGGUGAAGACAUGCAUCAGUUCUGUACUUCUUAAGCAUUAACUAAAUUUGAGAAGUGCUGCAAAACAUUAUUUCCUUCCAUAACAAGAUCACAGAAACUUUCUGGAUUACAAAGCAAUGAAAUAAAGGGAGCAUUUGUGUAUGUGAAAAACACCUUUAAGGAUCAUGUGUUCAAGAAAAGACUGGAUGAGGCACUUAGUGCCAGGGUCUAGUUGACUGGAUAGGGCUGGGUGCUAGGUUGGACUGGAUGAUCUUGAAGAUCUCUUCCAACCUGGUUGAUUCUAUGAAACUCUAUGCUGUGUCGCUGUAUAUAUUUAUUGGUGACAGACCAAAUAGCAACACAACAGACACAGCUGCAGCUGAAAGCCAAGGGCAAAAAGCCCAAAAGCCGUUCGUUGCUAUAUCCGCAGUCUUUUCUAUCCCAUUCUACAAGUUAUAGAAUACAGAGACUGGAUAAAAUAUCGUUCCCAACAUCCUUCUUGGACAACAGUGAUGUAAUAGUGGGAUGUUAGCUAUUUUAACACAGGCUCCUUUCAGUUCUUUGUUCUAAGUUAUGUCACUUCCAUGCAAAUGUUACCCAAGGCGAGAACACCAAUUUACUAUGUUUCUAUCCUCAAUCUUACUGCGCCAGGGACGCGCUCCAAAGAUACAUCAGUCAUCGCAUUUAGCUGACUCCUUUUUUUGCUUCCCACAAUGCUGCUUUAAGACAAACCUCCUUUAAUGCCUAACAAUGCAGAUAUGAGUGGCCUUUUCAUGUUUGAUUUGGGGCAAACCAGACACUAACCACAAAUGUUUACUCUGGACUCACCAGCUGAUAAAGAUCUUCCCAGUAGUCCUGUG